rnacentral:rRNA from 1 species
UACGAAGGGGGCUAGCGUUGCUCGGAAUCACUGGGCGUAAAGGGCGCGUAGGCGGCCAUUCAAGUCAGAGGUGAAAGCCCAGGGCUUAACCCUGGAAUUGCCUUUGAUACUGUUUGGCUUGAGACCGGAAGAGGUAAGUGGAACUGCGAGUGUAGAGGUGAAAUUCGUAGAUAUUAGGAAGAACACCAGUGGCGAAGGCGGCUCACUGGUCCGGUACUGACGCUGAGGUGCGAAAGCGUGGGGAGCAAACAGG